AGAGUUUGAUCAUGGCUCAGGAUUAACGCUAGCGGCAGGCAUAAUACAUGCAAGUUGAACGGGAUUAGUUGUAGCAAUAUGACUAUGAGAGUAGCGCACGGGUGCGUAACGCGUAUGCAACCUGCCUUCAUCUGGGGAAUAGCCCCUCGAAAGAGGGAUUAAUACCGCAUAACAUAGUGAGUAGGCAUCUACUUACUAUUAAAACUACGGUGGAUGAAGAUGGGCAUGCGUGACAUUAGCUAGUUGGUAGGGUAAUGGCCUACCAAGGCUACGAUGUCUAGGGGGUCUGAGAGGAUGUCCCCCCACACUGGUACUGAGAUACGGACCAGACUCCUACGGGAGGCAGCAGUAGGGAAUAUUGGUCAAUGGGCGCAAGCCUGAACCAGCCAUGCCGCGUGCAGGAUGACGGCCCUAUGGGUUGUAAACUGCUUUUGUACGGGAAGAAACCUGAUUACGUGUAAUCAGUUGACGGUACCGUGAGAAUAAGGAUCGGCUAACUUCGUGCCAGCAGCCGCGGUAAUACGAAGGAUCCUAGCGUUGUCCGGAUUUACUGGGUUUAAAGGGUGCGUAGGCGGACUUUUAAGUCAGUGGUGAAAGCCUGCAGCUUAACUGUAGAAUUGCCAUUGAAACUGAUUGUCUCGAGUGUGGUUGAGGUCACUGGAAUAUAUCAUGUAGCGGUGAAAUGCUUAGAUAUGAUAUAGAACACCAAUUGCGAAGGCAGGUGACUAAGCCAUAACUGACGCUGAUGCACGAAAGCGUGGGGAUCAAACAGGAUUAGAUACCCUAGUAGUCC
rnacentral:rRNA from 1 species